GCAGCAGUGGGGAAUAUUGCGCAAUGGGCGGAAGCCUGACGCAGCGACGCCGCGUGGGGGAUGACGGCCUUCGGGUUGUAAACCUCUUUCGGCCUUGACGAAGCUCUUCGGGGUGACGGUAGGGGUAGAAGAAGCACCGGCCAACUACGUGCCAGCAGCCGCGGUAAUACGUAGGGUGCGAGCGUUGUCCGGAAUUAUUGGGCGUAAAGAGCUCGUAGGCGGUCUGUCGCGUCGGUCGUGAAAACUUGGGGCUUAACCCUGAGCUUGCGGUCGAUACGGGCAUGACUGGAGUUCGGCAGGGGAGACUGGAAUUCCUGGUGUAGCGGUGAAAUGCGCAGAUAUCAGGAGGAACACCGGUGGCGAAGGCGGGUCUCUGGGCCGAUACUGACGCUGAGGAGCGAAAGCGUGGGGAGCGAACAGGAUUAGAUACCCUGGUAGUCCACGCCGUAAACGGUGGGCGCUAGGUGUGGGGGGCCAUUCCACGGUCUCUGUGCCGCAGCUAACGCAUUAAGCGCCCCGCCUGGGGAGUACGGCCGCAAGGCUAAAACUCAAAGGAAUUGACAGGGGCCCGCAC
rnacentral:rRNA from 1 species